rnacentral:rRNA from 1 species
GACGAACGCUGGCGGCGUGCCUAAUACAUGCAAGUCGGACGAGUUGCGAACGGGUGAGUAACGCGUAUGAACCUACCUAUUAGAGGGGGAUACCUAUUGGAAACGAUACCUAAUACCGCAUACUAGUAGAUCGACCUGCGUUGUAUUAGCUAGUUGGUGGGGUAAAGGCCUACCAAGGCGACGAUCCGUAACUGGGCUGAGAGGAUGAUCAGUCAAACUGGAACUGAGACACGGUCAAGACUCCUACGGGAGGCAGCAGGGGGGAAUAUGGGACAAUGGGCGAAAGCCUGAUCCAGCCAUGCCGCGUGUGUGAAGAAGGUCUUCGGAUUGUAAAGCACUUUAAGUUGGGAGGCGUUACCAACAGAAUAAGCACCGGCUAACGUCGUGCCAGCAGCCGCGGUAAUAC